rnacentral:rRNA from 1 species
AGGGAAUCUUCCGCAAUGGACGAAAGUCUGACGGAGCAACGCCGCGUGAGUGAUGAAGGUUUUCGGAUCGUAAAGCUCUGUUGCCAGGGAAGAAUGCUUGGGAGAGUAACUGCUCCCAAGGUGACGGUACCUGAGAAGAAAGCCCCGGCUAACUACGUGCCAGCAGCCGCGGUAAUACGUAGGGGGCAAGCGUUGUCCGGAAUUAUUGGGCGUAAAGCGCGCGCAGGCGGCCUUGUAAGUCUGUUGUUUAAACUUGGGGCUCAACCCCAAGUCGCAAUGGAAACUGCAAAGCUUGAGUGCAGAAGAGGAAAGUGGAAUUCCACGUGUAGCGGUGAAAUGCGUAGAGAUGUGGAGGAACACCAGUGGCGAAGGCGACUUUCUGGGCUGUAACUGACGCUGAGGCGCGAAAGCGUGGGGAGCAAAC